GACGUAGGGUGCAAGCGUUGUCCGGAAUUAUUGGGCGUAAAGAGUUCGUAGGCGGUUUAUCAAGUCUAGUGUUAAAGACUGGAGCUCAACUCCGGCAUGGCAUUGGAAACUGAUAGGCUAGAGUGUGGUAGAGGCAAGGGGAAUUCCUGGUGUAGCGGUGAAAUGCGCAGAUAUCAGGAGGAACACCGGUGGCGAAGGCGGCAUCCUGGACCGACACUGACGCUGAGGAGCGAAAGCCAGGGGAGCAAACGGG
rnacentral:rRNA from 1 species